UACGGGGGGGGCAAGCGUUGUUCGGAAUUACUGGGCGUAAAGGGUUCGUAGGUGGCCUACUAAGUCAGACGUAAAAUCCCUCAGCUCAACUGGGGAACUGCGUCUGAGACUGGAAGGCUUGAGUGCAGGAGAGGAACGCGGAAUUCCAGGUGUAGCGGUGAAAUGCGUAGAUAUCUGGAGGAACACCGGUGGCGAAGGCGGCGUUCUGGACUGUUACUGACACUGAGGAACGAAAGCCAGGGGAGCAAACGGG
rnacentral:rRNA from 1 species